AUCACGUUUAAUACACACAUUCAUAUGAUCAGUUUAAUAGUAUCAUUCACUUCAAUAAAACAGCUGGACUUCACAUUGUCUUAUUGAAUGUCAGAAUGAUCAAAGAGGUGCUUGAAUUAUCAGUUGGUAUUGGUGUAGGAUUUGCAGCUACUCGGUGUUUGAUACACGCAACACAGCCAGAAAAAAGGAAAAGAGAAAAACACCCUG